rnacentral:lncRNA from 1 species
GUUUGCAAAAAUCCUUCAGUCAUGCAAAGAUAUGAAGAAAAUGAUAAAAGACUUAGGUCUUGGGUACAACAAAAUCCAUAGUUGCCCGAAUGAUUGCAUGUUGUACUGGAGCGAUCGGAGAAACCAACAGUGCUGUCAUGUAUGCGGUGAAUCCCGUUGGAUGAAUAGAAACACAGAAGAUGGGAACAGCGAUGAAAAUGAUGCACAGCCAAGAAAGAAGCCGGUCAAGAUUUUGCGGUAUUUUUCGCUGAUACCAAGGCUUCAAAGGCUUUUCAUGUCGUCGAAGACAGCGGAGUCAAUGACGUGGCACCAUGAAGGACGAACCGAUGAUGGACUAUUAAGGCAUCUGGUAGAUUCUUUAGCUUGAAAAUCAUUUGACAAUAAAUUUUCAAGCUUUGCAAGCGAUCCCAGGAAUGUGAGGCUUGACCUAACAUCUGAUGGAUUUAAUCCUUACAAGAUCAUGAGUACUGCAUACAGUACUNNNNNNNNNNNNNNNNNNNNNNNNNNNNNNNNNNNNNNNNNNNNNNNNNNNNNNNNNNNNNNNNNNNNNNNNNNNNNNNNNNNNNNNNNNNNNNNNNNNNUAAAAGAGAUAUUAAUAAUUUUAAAAUAUUGAAUUAAUUAUCACUAUAUAUAGUUUAGGGUUUUCAAUUUAGGGUAUAUGAUAAAUUUAAGAUUUAAGGUCGGUUUAAUAGUUCAUAUUUUAAGGUUUUAAUUUAGGUAGGGAAUAUAUAUGUGGAUUUAGGGAUUAUGGAUUAGGUAUAUUAUGGUUUAAUUAAGGGUUGGGAUUUAAGGUUUAAGGGUUAGGGGUUAGGGGUGUAGGGGGUAGAUGUUAGGGUUAAGAGUUAGAGAUUUAGGGUUUAAGGUUCCAGGGAUCGGGUUAGGGUUUUGGGUUUAGAUUAUUAUUUAUUUAUAUUUUAAAUACGUUAUUAUGUAGUUGUAAAAGAUAAUAAUAAAAUUGUUUAGAGUUUUUAAUUAGUUUAGGGUAUAUGAUAAAUUUAAAAUUUAAGGCCGGUUUAGGAGUUCAUAUUUAAAUUAAGGUUUAGGGAGUACUAUAUAUAUAUGGAUUUAGGGAUUAUGGAUUAGGGAUUAAGGGUUGGUCGGUAUUUAUGGUUUAGGUGUUAGGGGUUUAAUAAGGGGUUGCACGUUAGUGGUUAAGAGUUAGGGAUUUAAGAGGUUUAGGGUUUUAAGAGGGUCGGGUUAGAGUUUUGGGUUUAGAUUAUUAUUAUUUAUUUAUAUUUUAAAUAUAUGUUCUUAUGCAUUAAUUGUAAAAGAUGUAUAAUUUAGGGUUUAAAUUAUGCCUUGAGAGAGAUAUAUAGACUUAAAUAUUUAUAUCAUUUCAAUGGUUAAGGUUAAGGUUCACUUGAGAUUUGAAAUUUUAUACAAUUAAUUAAUUAAUGCUUUUAUAUUUAAAAAAAAUUGAAUCUAAACCAUUUGAUAUAUUUAAAUAUAACCUUAAAUAGAAAUAAUAAAUAAAUUAAAAAAAGUAAUAGCUUGCUAUGGAUAAUUUAGAUAUUACUUAAGAAAUAAAAUUAAAAAUAAAAUUAAAAUACAAAAAUCAAAAUGAAAUAUAAAAACUCUAAAAUUUUUAAUUUAAUCUAUUUUUAUAGAUAUUACUUAAAAAACAAAAUUUUUUAAUUUUAUAAAUAUAACUUAAAAAAACUAUGUAUUCAAAUAUCCCAUAACGGCGCCGUUUGAAUAAAGAAUUUUAUUUAACAUUAGCGGCGUUUAGGACAAAAACACCGCAAAAAUUGCUAAUAAUAUAGACGAAACAGUGAAGUAUUUGGCUGUGAAUUUAAUGGAUUUAGCGGCGCUAGGAAAAACGCCACUAAAUGUGCAUUAGCGGCGAUAUUAUGGAAACGCCGCAAAAUUUUAUCAUUUUUGUAAACAAAACGGUGUCGUUUUGCCUGGCAUAUUAACGGCAUUAGUGGCAUUACGCCGAAAACGCCGCAAAUUGUCGGGGUUUUUUUAAUGAAACGGUGGCGUUUUAACUAGCACAUUAAGGGCAUUAGUGGCGCUAUGGUAAAAGCGCCGCAAAGUUUUCGGGUUUUUUAAACCAAACGGUGUCGUUUUCCCUGGCACAUUAACGACAUUAGUGGCGCUAUGGUGAAAACGCCGCAAAGUUUCGGGUUUUUUAAACAAAACGGUGCCGUUUUGCCUUUACGGUAUUAGUGGCGCUGUGUUAAAAACGCCAAAACGUUUCAUUCUGGUUCAAAAAAGACGCUGUCGUUUUAUUCCCCUCCCAUUUUAUUCCCCAGUUCAUUUUUCCCAUACCCGAAAUCUUCAUUCCCUCUAAAUUUUCCCCAAAAUUUCCCCAAGGCAAGAACCCUAAACCUUCCCCAAAUCUGCUGCGCUCCAGGACCCGAACCUUCCCCAAAUCUGCCGCUUUGAAAAUAACCGUCCCUUCUGCCGUCGAUCGUCGACCGUCGCAGUCCUCUACCAUCGCACUCCUCUGCCGUCGAAGAAAUCGAUAAGGUUUUCCUCUUUUUCUAAAAAAUCAUUCGGGGUUUCCGGCUUCAGCAAUGUACAGGUUAUACUUCUAAAGGCAUUUAUUGUUAAAUUAUUUUCUGUAGUUAUCACCAUAAUGAGUGUUGGUUGAACCAUUUUUGCACGUUGGAAUAUGAUGGUUCUGUUUCCAAUUUAAUCUUGCAUGUGGUGUUAGAAGAUUUUGAGAGGAGAAAGCAAAAUUUUGGGACUUGUUAAAUUCUUUUGUUAAUAUGAUGUUUGUGGAUUCAUAUGUGGUUGAAGGUUAAUUUAUAAAUUGAGACUUGUUAAAUGAUACAAUUUAACAAGAAAUUUUGGUUUAGUUUAGGAGAGUCCAGAAAUUUGGGUUUGAAAAGUAAUAAUAAAAAUUUUGUCACAUUUAAAAUCAAUUCAUAUUAAAUAUACAAAUAUUUUGGACUGUUAUUUUGCUUCAACUGAAAUUUCUAUUUAGUGUUGUGGAUACAUGUUUUCAGUUCUUCUCCCUGCUGCUGGAGUUUUUCUUCAUUUGUAACAAUUUUUUGUAUAACUUAUUUAUCUGGAAAAACACCAUUUUUUAUUCAACUGUUUUCUUAUGCGUUUGAUAAGUUGAGCAUAACUGACCUGUAACUGUGCUUCUUGUGUAUCACUUAUUUUCUUUGUUGUGCUUGUUUUAAGAAAUUUAGAGUUGUUUUAGGAAAUUGUAAUUUAGUUAAAUACUUUGUUCUUCUCAUUGUUGAAGAGUUAAAAAUUACCCAUUGUCUUAUGUUCAAGUUUUGUUUCCCAGAAUUAACACUGCAUUUGCCAAACUAUUAAAGAUAUUUGGAACGGAAAAAUUGUGGAUUAACCAUUUGUUACUGCCUUAUUGAUCAGCUCGUAUUUAGGUAAGUUUCCUGAUAUUAUUUUAAUCAAAAUGUCCUUACUGCCUUACCAUGUUGCAAUAACAAUUGUUGAAAGUAAUUUUCUUAGAACUUAAUCGAUUUGGCAGCACUCUGUAAUUAGCUCUGUAGUUGGUAAACAAUGUUAAACUAUGUUACACGAUUUCUUACAUGUCUGUUUCAACAUGUCUGUUCUGCUUUGUUCCUACACCGAGUUCCUACAUGUCUGUUCUGUUUUGUUGAAUGAGUUUGUUAGUUCUCUGCUGUUUUUUCUUACACAGGAGAUUUGGAUAUUGUAUAUACAUUGUAAAAAUGGGCUGCCCGAUUUAACAAAAUGUUAAAUACAUGACUUACUAAAAUUAGCUUUUAUUGUUUUAUUUAAUUAUAAAUAUAUUAUUAAUUUAUUUAACGUACAACAGAAAAAUAAAUUUAUUUUCAAUUAUGUAAUAAAUAUAUUUUUAUCUUUCACCCAAUUUCCACAUUACGCAAAACAUCUUUCAGAGGUUAUGUUUUUCGUUUGUUAAAUAUCUUUAGAAAAAUGGUUACCUAGGGCCUAGAAAACAACAUUGAAGUUAUUAAAAUUAAUAUGGUUUUCAAUUUAUGUCUCGGGUUGGGUUAAUUAGUUUUAGACUAAAUAAUUAAAAUUUCAAGCUUUUGUAUUCUUUGUAUAUUUGAUGUUCAAUCUCCAAAUUUUUAUUUUUAAUAAUUUAGUCUCUUUAUUUUUAGAAUUUAAAAUUGGAGUUCAUUUGUUAAAUUUGUUGUUGUGACAUUAUAAGAGUUUAACACAUUUUAAUGGACCUGUAUUUAACAAAAAUUUUUAAUGAAAUUAAAAAAUUUUAAAAUUCUCAUAAGCAUUUUAAUUAAAAUAAGAUAUUUCAUUUAACUAAUAGCAUUAUAAACAUUGAGAGUGCAAAUUAUGUCAAAAAUUAAAAUAUAAAUAUAAAAUCUCAAAUUUAAGAAUAGUAUAAGGACCAAAAUUAAAAUUUGACUAAUUUUAUAUAUCAAGACAUUAUAAAACUAAAAGAACUAUAGUAAGAAUAAGAGAGAAGAGGAGACACAAAAGUGAAAGGAUAGUUCUACUUUUUCUUAGCUUCCAUAAGCUUGUACAUAUCAUUUAAUUAAUUAAUAUACAUAAAUUACAUAAGUUACAUUAAUAUUAUACAUAAAUUACAUAACUUAAUUAAUUAAUAUUAUACAUAACUUGCAUUAAUAUUAUACAUAAAUUACAUAACUUAAUUAAUUAAUAUUAUACAUAACUUACAUUAGUAUUAUACAUAAAUUACAUAACUUAAUUAAUUAUUACACAUAAAUUACAUUGCUUACAGUAAUAACUUACAACUUACAUAACUUAAUUAAUUAAUAUUAUACAUAACUUACAUAGCUUACAACUUACAUAACUUACAUUUUUAUAAUUAUUCAUAAAUUGCAUAACUUACAUUAAUAUUAUACAUAAAUUACAUAACUUAAUUAAUUAAUAUACAUAAAUUACAUAACUAAUUAGAUUAAUAUUAUACAUAAAUUACAUAACUUUGUUAAUUAAUAUUAUACAUAACUUACAUUAAUAUUAUACUUAAAUUACAUAAGUUAGUUAAUUAAUAUUAUACAUAACUUACAUAACUUACAACUUACAUAACUUACGUUUUUUUAAUUAUUCGUAAAUUACAUAACUUACUUAAUUUUCAUAAUAAAUAACUUACAUAACUUACAACUUACAUAACUUAUAUGACUUACAUAACUUACAUAGCAUAAUUUUCAUAAUACACAACUUACAUAAUUUGGGUAAUGAAUAACUUACAUAAUACAUAACUUACAUAACUUAACUAUACUUAUUCCUAAAUCCUAAACCCGUGCAAUUUAUUGUCAAGAUUAGGCUUCAAGAAAUAAGAAAUGGACCAGUCUUGGAUGAAUUUGUCAAGGGUAAGCGACGGUUAUCGAAAUGGAGUACAAACUUUUCUAAAUUUUGCAUUUCAAUAUGCAAGCCAAGAGAACAUGAUUCUUUGCCCGUGUAAGAAGUGUGUCAACAUAAACUGGCAUUAUCGUGAAGUUGUAUACGAGCAUCUAAUUGUUGAUGGGUUUGUUCGUGGUUAUAAACAAUGGUUUUUUCAUGGAGAAUGCCCGCCUAGUACUUCCUCUUUAAGGAUGGAUGUAUCUUAUGAUAGUACUGCUUACCAUCAGUCUGUUAGAGGGGAUGACAUGGAAGGGAUGUUGCGGGAAGCAUUUAAUAUUCACAGUCAUGGUUUACAGUCGAUUCCACCAGACUUUAUGCCAUCUGAUGUUAUAAUCUCGGUGGAAAUGCUUUUAACCGAACUCGGAAGAAGUGUACAUCAUGAAGAGCCGAAUGGAGAAGCGGCAAAGUUCUACGCGCUACUUAAUGAGAUGAACGAAGAACUAUAUGAGGGAUCGAAAUUUUCAAAAAUGUCUUUCUGCAUUCGUCUUCCAGUUAAAAUGUUUGGGAGGGUGGACCGGGAACUCAUUGACAAUGCUGUUAGAGUUUUUGAGAGAAAUGUUUCCGUUUGCAAAAAUCCCUCAGUCAUGCAAAGAUAUGAAGAAAAUGAUAAAAGACUUAGGUCUUGGGUACAACAAAAUCCAUAGUUGCCCGAAUGAUUGCAUGUUGUACUGGGGCGAUUGGAGAAACCAAUAGUGCUGUCAUGUAUACGGCGAAUCCCGUUGGAUGAAUAGAAACACAGAAGAUGGGAACAGCGAUGAAAAUGAUGCACAGCCAAGAAAGAAGCCGGUUAAGAUUUUGCGGUAUUUUCCGCUAAUACCAAGGCUUCAAAGGCUUUUCAUGUCGUCGAAGACAGCGGAGUCAAUGACGUGGCACCAUGAAGGGUGAACCGAUGAUGGACUAUUAAGGCAUCCGACAGAUUCUUUAGCUUGGAAAUCAUUUGACAAUAAAUUUCCAAGCUUUGCAAGCGAUCCCAGGAGUGUGAGGCUUGGCCUAGCAUCUGAUGGAUUUAAUCCUUACAAGAUCAUGAGUACUGCAUACAGUAUUUGGCCAGUAGUGCUUGUUCCUUACAAUCUGCCUCUGUG